rnacentral:rRNA from 1 species
GAUGAACGCUGGCGGCGUGCCUAAUACAUGCAAGUCGAGCGAACAGAUGAUGCGCUUGCUGCUCUCACGUUAGCCGCGCACGGGUGAGUCACACGUGUAUAACCUACCUAUAAGACUGGGAUAACUUCGGGACACCGGCGCUAAUACCGGAUAAUAUAUUGAACCGCAUUGUUCAAUAGUGAAAGACGGUUUUGCUGUCACUUCUAGAUGGAUCCGCGCCGCAUUAGCUAGUUGGUAAGGUAACGGCUUACCACGGCAACGAUGCGUAGACGACCUGAGAGACGGAUAGGCCACACGGGAACGGAGCCGCGGUCCAGGCUCCUGAGGGAGGCAGCAGUAGGCAAUGUGACGCAGUGGGCGAGAGCCUUGCAGAGCAACGCCGCGUGAGAGAUGAAGGUCUUCGGAGCGUAAAACUCUGUUAUGAGGGAAGAACAAAUGUGUAAGGAACUAUGCACGGCUUGACGGUAACUAAUCAGAAAGCCACGGCUAACUACGUG